rnacentral:tRNA from 6 species
GCGGGCGUAGCUCAGUGGUAGAGCACAACCUUGCCAAGGUUGGGGUCGUGGGUUCGAAUCCCAUCGCCCGCUCCA